rnacentral:siRNA from 1 species
AAUCGCCCGGCCCAUAGAGUGAUA